GUAAAUUCAGGACACUGAAAUUAGUAUGAUAUCUUACAUUUGGUAUGGUUACAUGAGAUAGAAGGUUACUUAACCCUUUAACCUAACUCCUAACCCUUACCUUAACCCUCAACAUAUCAUAUGAAUUGUAAUUCGUAACAUAUCAUACGAAAUUGAGUGUCUCGAAUUUACAUACAGAAUAAUCAAUCAAUCAAAUUAAUUUAUAAAGCCCUUUUUACAUCAGCCAAUGUCACAAGGUGCUGUACAGAAACCCAGCCUAAAACCUCAAACAGCAAGCAAUGCAGAUGUAGAAGCACAGUUGCUAGGAAAAACUCCCUAGAAAGGCCAAUACUUAGGAAGAAAGCUAGAGAGGAACCAGGCUCUGAGGGGUGACCAGUCCUUUUCUGGCUGUGCCAGGUGGAGAUUAUAACAGAACAUGGUCAAGAUGUUCAAAUGUUCAUAAAUGACCAGCAUGGUCGAAUAAUAAUAAGGCAGAACAGUUGAAACUGGAGCAGCAGCACAGUCAGGUGGAAGUUGAAACUGGAGCAGCAGCAUGGCCAGGUGGACUGGGGACAGCAAGGAGUAAUCAUGUCAGGUAGUCCUGGGGCAUGGUCCUAGGGCUCAGGUCCUCCGAGAGAGAGAAAGAAAGAGAGAAGGAGAGAAUUAGAGAACGCACACUUAGAUUCACACAGGACACCGAAUAGGACAGGAGAAGUACUCCAGAUAUAACAAACUGACCCCAGCCCCC
ensembl:lncRNA